ACGCUGGCGGCAGGCCUAACACAUGCAAGUCGAGCGGUAGAGAGAAGCUUGCUUCUCUUGAGAGCGGCGGACGGGUGAGUAAUGCCUAGGAAUCUGCCUGGUAGUGGGGGAUAACGUCCGGAAACGGACGCUAAUACCGCAUACGUCCUACGGGAGAAAGCAGGGGACCUUCGGGCCUUGCGCUAUCAGAUGAGCCUAGGUCGGAUUAGCUAGUUGGUGGGGUAAUGGCUCACCAAGGCGACGAUCCGUAACUGGUCUGAGAGGAUGAUCAGUCACACUGGAACUGAGACACGGUCCAGACUCCUACGGGAGGCAGCAGUGGGGAAUAUUGGACAAUGGGCGAAAGCCUGAUCCAGCCAUGCCGCGUGUGUGAAGAAGGUCUUCGGAUUGUAAAGCACUUUAAGUUGGGAGGAAGGGCAGUUACCUAAUACGUGAUUGUUUUGACGUUACCGACAGAAUAAGCACCGGCUAACUCUGAGCCAGCAGCCGCGGUAAUACAGAGGGUGCAAGCGUUAAUCGGAAUUACUGGGCGUAAAGCGCGCGUAGGUGGUUCGUUAAGUUGGAUGUGAAAUCCCCGGGCUCAACCUGGGAACUGCAUUCAAAACUGACGAGCUAGAGUAUGGUAGAGGGUGGUGGAAUUUCCUGUGUAGCGGUGAAAUGCGUAGAUAUAGGAAGGAACACCAGUGGCGAAGGCGACCACCUGGACUGAUACUGACACUGAGGUGCGAAAGCGUGGGGAGCAAAC
rnacentral:rRNA from 1 species